GUCAGGUGUGAAAUUCCCGGGCUUAACCUGGGGGCUGCGUUUGAGACGGUUGUGCUAGAGGAUGGAAGAGGCUCGUGGAAUUCCCAGUGUAGAGGUGAAAUUCGUAGAUAUUGGGAAGAACACCGGUGGCGAAGGCGGCGAGCUGGUCCAUUUCUGACGCUGAGGCGCGAAAGCGUGGAGAGCAAACAGGAUUAGAUACCCUGGUAGUCCACGCUGUAAACGAUGUGCGCUGGAUGUUGGGUGACUUAGUCACUCAGUGUCGUAGCUAACGCGAUAAGCGCACCGCCUGGGGAGUACGGCCGCAAGGUUGAAACUCAAAGGAAUUGACGGGGGCCCGCACAAGCGGUGGAGCAUGUGGUUUAAUUCGACGCAACGCGCAGAACCUUACCAGCUCUUGACAUCUGUCGAACGUCCGAGAGAUCGGAUGGUGCCCGCAAGGGAACGGCAAGACAGGNGCUGCAUGGCUGUCGUCAGCUCGUGUCGUGAGGUGUUGGGUUAAGUCCCGCAAC
rnacentral:rRNA from 1 species